ACAUAUCUCUCAACAUUCAAUCUUUAAUUCAAAAUAUGGAAUUAAAUUCGAAACAACAUAACAUCAUUAUUCAAUUAAGAAACUUAGAAAAUGACCUCAUUCAUAAUAUAGAGUAUUCAAUGAAAUAAGGAAUUCCCAACCCUGUGUUACACUAUCAGAUUGACACCAUGGAAAACUAAAUAGUCGAUAAGGUAUGACGAAUAAAACAAGAAAAUAAAGCAGUGAGUAGGCAAAUUAUGCCACCCCCCAAAAUAAGUAACGUCUAAAUCUCCUCAGUCUCCACCUGAGUAUCUGCAUAGUAUCCAUGGGAAACAACAUGGAAACCGAAAAGGGGUGAGAAAUACAUUCCAUAUAUAAACGGUGCAUAAAAAACAAGGAUAGUGUAAUCAAUAUAACUACCCAAUCACAAUCACAUCUCGAAUAACAACAACAAUCGAUUAACAUAUGAAAUUAUGUAUGCAAUGUCAAUCUCUUAUACUCCAAUGCAUGUGGUAGAAAUCUCUAGGAUAUUCCUAGGUAUAUUUCUAAGGUAUCCCAACUCGUUACUUGGAUCAAAGUCCUACUCGUCACUAGACUAGAGUCUUACUCAUCACUGAACCGGAGUCCUACCUAGCUUCAAUAUACAUGAUGCAUGAAUGCUACAAGAAAAUAUGCAAUUCUCAUCCAAAAACCCAACUCUUACAUUUGCCAAUCGUUCCUUUCGGACCUAAAAUAUAUCAUCAACAAUGAUUAUCGUUUUAUGGCCAUGUCACUGGUUCCAUCGAACCUAAUUGUCUCACAUCAAUAGUUCCUUCUCAUGAGGUAUUCAUCAUUGAACUCAACAUAGGAACUCAAUAACAUUUUUCUCAUCAAUCAAUAUCAAAUAACUCAUAAAAAUGAAAAUAAAAUUAAAAAACUACUUGGAAAAUUGAGUCAAAUAUCUCAAUAUGGUCAAACAAUAGGGAUGGCGAUCGGACCGUAUCGACCAUCAUAUUUGUCACCCUCAGGGUGAGUAACACGUUAAUCACUGAUGGUUUGGGGGUCAUGUUCUCAUUAUGGGGCCCUAACAGUUGGACCGUCACUUGGCUGACGCCCGUCACCGCUAACGAUUUGGCGUCUUCUUCCUCGAUGCGGUGAUAGUUGGCCUAUCAUGCUGAUAAUGCCCAUCACUGUUGUGUACAAUGCGAUUUCUGCAUUUUCACCAUUGAAUCGCUUUAGAUUUCAAUCUCUUCAAUCGGUUUUUUACAAAUGAAACAUCUUGCACUCGAUUUUCACAUUAUAACAACAAAUUGUAUAACCAAAACAUUAAUUUAACUUUUAUCACAUCUACUCAUCAUGAUUUAUUCAUAAAAAUAUAGCAUCUCAUAAGAACACAAACAUAAGUUUUUUAUAGCAUAAACCCAUACUAAUUUCACAUAACAAUAGAAAAAUUAGCAACAUCAUUAGAUCAUAACUCAAAAUUAUAUAGCAAUAAUCCAGAGAGAUUUUGCAUAAACCACCUCAAGAUUCAAGUUCCACGUCAAUGGAAGAAAAAGGGAAAGGAUGGGGCUUAAGGAAUCCCUACUAUCCCAUAUGCUUAGACACCAAUGUAUUGAACAAUCCACCCUUACCUUGAUUAUUCAUAAAAGUUUGAAGCUUUAUCGACUUUGGUUAUGGAGGCUCUUCUUCUUCACUUUCUAUGUUAGGGUUUGCUCUCUCCACUUCUUAGUCUCUAUUCCACAAAUUCCACGUGAUAUCACUUUUCCUUCUAUUUAAAUAAAAACCCGUUUUUUUUAAUUUUAAUAAUUUCACUAAUGUCCCCAUUUCUCACUAAUUCUACUCAACUCCCUAUAUUAAUUAAAUUCUAGUUUAUUGCCCCAAAACCACACUUUCUCACAUUCUCCAAUAAUUUGAAUAUUAAACUAUAACUAAAUUCUCCCAAUCUUCUUUAACUUAAAUAAUAAUAAUUAAUUAAAUAAAAUACACCCCAAAAGCUCAAAUAAAAAUUUAAAAUACUAGAAUAAAAAUCGCGGUGUUACACCUUUGGUGUAUUUACUUAC
rnacentral:lncRNA from 1 species